UACGUAGGUGGUAAGCGUUGUCCGAAUUUAUUGGGUUUAAAGGGUGCGUAGGCGGCCCUGUAAGUCAGUGCUGAAAUAUCCCGGCUUAACCGGGAGGGUGGCAUUGAUACUGCGGGGCUAGAGUACAGAUGAGGUAGGCGGAAUUGACGGUGUAGCGGUGAAAUGCUUAGAUAUCGUCAAGAACACCUAUAGCGAAGGCAGCUUACUAGGCUGUAACUGACGCUGAGGCACGAAAGUGUGGGGAUCAAACAGG
rnacentral:rRNA from 1 species